AGUCAGCGGAAGCAGGUCUGUCCAGGACGUGGCCUGGCGUGGCGAGCUGGAGACACGUGCCAGGCCCCGGGCCGGGGUCUGGAGGCUGCUCAGAACAUCGGCUCUGACCCCCACAUGGGGACGGCUCUGAGCGGACAGAGGCCUCCCCGCAGCCUCGCCCCAGCCGCCCCUGCCACCUCCCCGGCCACCUCCCAGCCUGGCUCCCCGAGCUUCCCUUUCCCCGCCCAGGUAGCCGCUGCCCCUCCAGCCCUGCUCCAGGCUGGCUCCUCCUCGCCCGCGCUGGGGGAAGUGCCGAGUCCUGGCCAGCCGGAUCCCCCGUGGCUCUCCACGGCACCCGGCACCCGCCCUCAGGAACUCCUGCUCCCCACCUCUGUCACGUCAAGGGCUGCGGCUGGCACCUCUCAACUGUCGAGAAGAAGCAAGCUUCCAAGGGUCAAAGGGCAGAGCUCCGAUGGUGGAAGGCUAGGCCACUGGACCGGCGUCUCCUGGGCAGGGGGUAGCUCCCCCUACGGCUCUGCCUGCGGCUGACCGUCCCGCACCCGGGGUCUGGCCUGUGUUAAACACUCAUUGGAAGAGGCAUUUGUCUCAGUUCUGAGUUAGGAGGGAAAUCAGAACGCUGUGUCUCCCCAGGCCAGAGUGGACACUCUAGUUACGUCAGCAGGACCCUUGGUUCAAAAGACCCGUCCAUGGUCCUGUCCUCUGGUCGGCCAGGGAUGCCGGCACGGCCCUCCCACCCCUGCUGGGCCCAUCUUGAGUGGACCACGGCUGAAUCAGGUGACAUCUGAGGACACUCGAGGCCCUGCCAGUUCAGAAGUCCGUGAGUAGUUGAGGGAACUGGAGGAUUUGGAAAAGUGCGCAGACACUGUGACCAGGCCUCAGCCUGGGUCCUUGGUGGAGCGUUUUGCCAGCUCUGGACCUUGGUUUUCCCAUCCAGAAAGCAAGCCUUGGCCUCGGUGGUCUCUGCCAUCCCCUUCAGCUCUGAAAACCUAGGACUUUGGGGAGGCUGAGGCAGGAGGAUCACAAGUUCAAGUGUGUUCAAUCCUCAGCAAGUUAGCGAGGCCCUGGGCAACUUAGUGAGACCGUCUCUAAAUAAAAGUAAAAACAGCUGGCGCUGGGGCUCAGUGGGAAGGUGCCCCUGGUUCAAUCCCCAGGACCAAAAAAGAGAAAAAGAAAGAAAGAAAAGAAAAUCUAGGACUCCUCCCUGGUAAGACCAAGGGAAAACAAGGCCCGUGGUGUGGAGAACCCGGGGGAGGGGGAGGGGGACAGCAAGGUGAUUCUCCGAGGUUCCGUUUAGACACGACCCAGGGGGCAACUCAGGGACUGGGUCUGGUGAAAGGUAAUGAGCCUCCGAAUCAGAAAUCAAUGACCGAGGUCAUAGCUAUGGUUUUUGGUUUAGGAAAACAAGAAGAAUCAGUAGCCGAGACUCUAACAGGUGGGACUCUGACAUGUGGAAUGAGUGGUGGGACACAUGGGUGGGAGCCCCGGUGGCUGGAGAGAUGGGUGAUGGCCAGGUAGAGAUGGGGAAGGACAGGGACGUUCCAGAGGGCGUUGGGUGGGCAGUGGGCACCCGUGUUUUGA